GAUGUUCUAUUUUGAGUCUUUUUUCCAUGUGUUUGAGAAUGAUUUGUUUUAGCUUAUUUUAGGUAAUUUAGACAUUUUUUUUAAUAUUUAGCAGGAGUUUUUCAAUGAUCUAUUAGUAACAUAUCUUAGUUUAUUGCUUUUUAUUGUGGUUUUAGUAAUACCACAAGUAUAUAUCAUAUUUGGGUAUAUAUUUUGGUAGAGUUAGUAUAUUG
rnacentral:misc_RNA from 1 species